GUCUUGUCUAGUGAUAACUUGUCUGUAUCCAUAACCUAGACGAUCUUAUUCAGUCAUAGAAAGAAUAAUUUGCGUCAUUAAGAAAUUGAUGAAGAUAUCGUGACGUUGAUAAUUCUUUUUUUAAAAAAGCCGUAACUCAAUAAGAUCCGGGCUGCAGUCUAGCUUUGUCCCCUGAUCUGUCACCGCUUAAUAAGUAUUUUGGAACAAAAACCAGUACAAUUAUACAAAUUAGUAUAAAACUAUCCUAAAAGAUGACGUUUAUUAAAAUAAUUUUUUUGUGUUAUUGAUUAAGUAGCAUGUAAAAUGUAAAACUUCUAGGUGAACCUUAUUAAAUAAAUAAAUAUAUAAAAUCGAAAGUCAGUUUGUAGAGAGGAUUUGACCAAAUAGUCGUCGGUUCAAAGGUUCUUUUGUUUUAUUAUAUAAUAUCAGGUGCGGGUCAAUUCCUGAAACCUUGACAGUUAAUGAGUCCUAGAAACAUUUUACUAGCAAUAUGAAUGCGACGUGAGAUCGAACGACAAAAUUGCAGCGUGAAUGUUGCUCGUACACAACUAUUUCACCUCCUAUAGCGGUAUUUUUGUUCCGUCGCAGUGCGAGGCUACUGUGCUAUAAAACACCAUUUUGAACAAUAGCCAUAUGAAAAUUGAAAAUUCUCGAGCAACACGCUUCAAAAAGACUAUUGCUUACUCAUUAUUAUGCAUGAUUACAAUUGAAUUGCUUACCAAGUUAAUUUGUAUUCCAAUAGUAAGUACCUAUAGCGUGCAAUGUUCUCAUGGAAUAAUUAGUAUAACUGGAUUUGUGACGCAGAAAAAAGCUGGACAAGACUACAGUUCAUCUAUUUUGUCUCGUUACAACUUCUGCUGUGGUAAACUUUAAUAUUAUCAUAGAUGUUAUCCACAUUUCAUUUAUAUUUGGUAUUCUAACAUUGUGUUAAUGCUUAGUUUGAAUUAAAGCAAUUAGAUUAGCAUAUCUUUAACACAAAAAUCUCCAUCUGGAAACGAGAUUAAAAAGUUAAUAUAGCCAAGAACGCCAUUAUUAUUUUUAUUUACUUCAAAUUAUUAUUAAGGUAAUAAUUUGUCCCUGAAUUGUGCUAUUGAGAUUGAAUUGUAUGUUUUUUAUAAGCUUUGGGGGGCCUGCCUCAGAAAUACGAGUAGUGCUGUAGGAACAAGUACAUACUGCUUGUGGUUUAUUUUUAAAAUCAUUAUCGUAACAUUACAUUAAAUACCUAUGUAUUUUGUAUUAUAUAGAAAAUUAUUUACAAUUUUUUUCUUUUUUAUUGUCAUUAUUUUAAUUGCUAAUUUUUUCUUCUUCAAGUU